rfam:Felis catus isolate Cinnamon breed Abyssinian chromosome E3, whole genome shotgun sequence.
GCCUGGGUGGCUCAGUCGGUUGAGCAUCCGACUUCGGCUCAGGUCACGAUCUCGGGAUCCGUGAGUUCGAGCCCCGCAUCGGGCU